GUCACGCUAAGAUACACCAGAAAGCCAGGCGCAUGCACGCGGCGCGCUGCCGCUUCAAGGCGCGGGCGCGAGAGAGAGAGAGAGAGAGAGAGCGCGAGAGCGUGAGUGCGUAUGUGUCACACAUCGCUGAGAAAAGCUUCCGCGUGCCGUCGGUUCGACCUGCUGCAGGAACACAACGCUGAACUUUACUACUGGAAAAUCAGCACCUAUUCCUACAAGGUCAGUAGAUGUUCUAACUUUAUUAUUAUUAUUUAAAUAUGUUUUUGAGUUUUAUUCCCGGUUUUAGUAGUUUUAUUGUGGCAUGUCCAAUAAUGCACGCGCUGAUGGAUGAGCUGUUUGGCGCGCGAGUUGUAAAAGGUGCACAGGAUGAUGCACAGGUAUACUGUGUGGAUAUUUAUGAUCAAAACAAGUUUAACAAAAACAAACAAACAAAAUCCUCUGCCCCUCGUGCACUUGCGGUAGUACUAAUAAUACAGACAGCUCAGUGUUUUAAUAUUAGAGUCUCAUCUCUUAAAAAAGGUGUCUCACCUGUGCUGGGUUUGGUUUCCGGGAAGCGCGUGCGCUGGGAAUUCACGGUUCUUCCCUCAUCAUUGCAUCCUCUUACAGACUAAAAGGCACCCCAUAUCAUUCAGAGUGCACAUGCACGGUGUAAUGCACAUGAUGGAAGGGCAUGGAGUGUCAUUCUGCAGGAGUGUAGCUGUACAUUCACAGAGGAACUUCACUUAAACGUGGAGUUUUCGGUUGAACCUGGAUUACACAAAGUUUCUGGAGAAGGAGGUCGUUUCAGGAGGAGCGCAUGAUCAUAGCUGGGUUUUUUUCUUCUUCCAGGAGAAAGUAGCUAAUGCUUGCUCGAUAAGGUCCCUAGAAGUCCCCAUAUGACACCCUAGACUAAUCUGCGUAUUUAUUCAGUGGCAUAGGAACGUGUUGGAACAUGAAGAUUUUCUGCAAACACUCAGAAUAGAAAUGAGUUAUACCAAAGUACAAGGUAUUAGAUCAUGGGAUCUGGUUUAUAAAAAGAAGGCGUCUUUGGUCAUGGCACCGCAAAAUAUAAUCUCUAGGACGCAGACUGAACGAGGCAGUGGUAGUGAGGUAUCUGGAAAUAGGUAUGAAGGGGAAUCUGUUAAUGUAAUUUUAUUACUGUAAAUAUUGCCAAUAAAUGAUUUUCAGAUGAAGAACAGAAACAUGCUGGUGGGACAAACAGUGGUGAUGAGUGAUUAAUCACUGGUCACCAUUCUUUCUAUUGACCAGUCAUUGGGAACAGUGAGGGUCGGUGAUCAGUCGUGGGGAACGGUGAGGGUCGGUGAUCAGUCGUGGGGAACAGUGAGGGUCGGUGAUCAGUCGUGGGGAACGAUGGGGUCGGUGAUCAGUCAUUGGAACAGUGAGGGUCGGUGGUCAGUCGUGGGGAACAAUGGGGUCGGUGAUUUAAUUUUUGAGAACAAUAGUGACCUGUGAUCAGUCAUUAGGAACAAUGGAAAUUGGUAGAUAGCCAGGGGGUACAAUGGUGAUCAGUGAUUAGUCACUGGAAACAAUGGUCACCAGUGAUUAAUUGUUGAGAACAAUGGUUUCAACAAUGAUCAGUCAUUGAAAACAGUAGUGAUCAGUGAUUAUUCAAUACCAAAGAAUGGUGAUCAGAGAGUAAUUGUUUGGCAGGGUGUACCCCGCCUUGUGCCCCAUGCUCCCUGGGAUAGGCUCCAGGUUUCCUGCGACCCUGUAGGAUAAGCGGUAUAGAAAAUGGAUGGAUGGAUGGAUUAGUUGUCGGGAACAGUGGUGAUCAGUGAUUGAUCCAUGGAAAUGUUGACUCGCACAAAUGCACGAAUUAUAGCGACAGUCACUAAGCUGCAAACUCUGAGCAUGAUGACGAGAACCCAAAUGUCAUAGCCUAAAUCAAAAUCCCUCCGAAAGCUUGAGCAAGUGAACCAGAUAUUAAAAUGAAAAUGUGUUUGUCUAUAUAAAGGUUAUAAAGGUUGCAUUUGCACACUGACACAUUGAGGCUACCGCUGCUCCACUUACCUUUUCCCACAAGGAGAAGUAAAAUACCACGCUUUAUUGAACUGGAUUUUUAUAUGGUAGUGGAAUCGAGUGUUAUGGGACAUCAGUGAAUAAAGGGACACAUAAAUUCGAUACACGCUGAAUGGCCAAGCCCACGGUAUCCCAUCUGGAAACAACAUGCUUCAUAAAUCUUUUUUAUCUUUGUUUUCUUAAAUUGUGUGCAAUUGUUUGGGUGUUUUUCUCUCGCUUGGUGAUGUUUUUAUAUUUUCCAGUUGUUUUACUGGAUUGGGCAACAACAGCAUGGAGAAAAUUGAGUGAGUCUGAGAAAGAGUCACUGACCUUCACAAUGACCUUGACUCUCCUCCUCAUCGACGCUGCGUUUAACACACUCCUUGCUGCCUACUGCUGAUGUGAAAACACACUCCCGACGUUUCAGUUUUGAAACCUCAGAGCCCGUUCUGCAUUGUCUGAGCCUGUAUUUGCUCCCCCGCCCCCCGUGGAGGUCAUGAGGAGUAAAUCGUUACUGCGUCCACCUCCAACAGCAGGCUUCUUCAGCCUGACUGUUUGAGAAACCACAGAUGUGAGUUUAAUUAGUUCCUAAUUGAAGAAAAUAAGCACCACUCAACCCCGAUGUCGUCCUCUCAACCCCCUGUUUUGGUUACUGCUUUCAGUCCGCUCUCGUAUUGUGCUGAUAGAAUAGCG
ensembl:lncRNA